AGCCUUAGGUGGGAAAGUGGUGUCCCUAUU
rnacentral:piRNA from 1 species